rnacentral:lncRNA from 1 species
UUGAGCACCUAAGAGGAUUGGAUCAAACCAAUUAGGAGGUGCAAGCCCUCCUUAUUUUUCUCCCUAGACUUUCCCUUCUUAGCAUGGAUUAUUUGGAAGGAAAAGUAGGGCGCACGCCACCUCUGGAUGAGAUCCAAAGGGGGUGCACGCCCCCUCUUCUUUUGGAAGGUUCUAGGGGUGCACGCCCCUGAAAUUCAUGUGGAGAGUGAGAGGGGGGCGCACCCCUCCCUGAAUUUUGCAUGAGGAUA